AGCUCCAAUAGCGUAUAUUAAAGUUGUUGCAGUUAAAAAGCUCGUAGUUGAACUUGUGGCCUGGAUGGCUCGGUCUGACGCUUAUGCGUGAGUACCUGAGCCAUCCGACCAUCCUUGGGUGGAACCUGUGUGGCAUUAAGUUGUCGUGUAGGGGAUGCCCAUCUUUUACUGUGAAAAAAUUAGAGUGUUCAAAGCAGGCUUAUGCCUUUGAAUAUAUUAGCAUGGAAUAAUGAUAUAGGACUUUGGUACUAUUUUGUUGGUUUGUGCACUAAAGUAAUGAUUAAUAGGGACAGUUGGGGAUAUUAGUAUUUUUAGGUCAGAGGUGAAAUUCUUGGAUUCUUUAAAGACUAACUACUGCGAAAGCAUUUAUCAAGGAUGUUUUCA
rnacentral:rRNA from 1 species